rnacentral:rRNA from 1 species
CCUACGGGUGGCAACAGUGGGGAAUAUUGGGCAAUGGGCGCAAGCCUGACCCAGCAACGCCGCGUGAAGGAAGAAGGCUUUCGGGUUGUAAACUUCUUUUAAGAGGGAAGAGCAGAAGACGGUACCUCUUGAAUAAGCCACGGCUAACUACGUGCCAGCAGCCGCGGUAAUACGUAGGUGGCAAGCGUUGUCCGGAUUUACUGGGUGGAAAGGGCGUGCAGCCGGGAAGACAAGUCAGAUGUGAAAUCCGGCGGCUCAACCGCGGAACUGCAUUUGACACUGUUUUUCUUGAGGACCGGAGAGGUCAGCGGAAUUCCUGGUGUAGCGGUGAAAUGCGUAGAUAUAAGGAAGAACACCAGUGGCGAAGGCGGAUGGCUGGACGGCAACUGACGGUGAGGCGCGAAAGCAUGGGGAGCAAACAGGAUUAGAUACCCCAGUAGUC